CUCUCCUCAGAACUUUGAUAUACGGUAUGAUGGUUUCUUUCUUGUUGCGCAACAAUGCAGGGACGAGUUGGUGAUCCACGCAGGGACAUACGCUGGGGCACUUCUAGUGGAUGGACUUGGAGAUGGUGUAAUGCUAGAAGCACCUGAUCAAGACUUCGAGUUUCUUAGGAACACUUCUUUCAACUUGUUACAAGGCUGCAGGAUGCGUAACACCAAGACGGUAUAUAUAAGCACAAACGAAUCUCUAUUAUUCUCAAACCCUUCCUUAGAAUGAAAAAGUAGUCACAGUGAAUUGUUUGUUGCAGGAAUACGUAUCGUGCCCGUCUUGUGGAAGAACUCUGUUCGACUUGCAAGAAAUCAGCGCUGAGAUCAGAGAAAAGACUUCGCAUUUGCCUGGCGUUUCGGUUAGUAAAAAAAAACAAAACCUUUGUUUCUUUUUGUGUUUCAAGAAAAUGUUUUCCUUUCUGGUUGUUGGAUUGUGUAAACGAAUGGAGUUUUGGAAAAUGGUGCAGAUUGCAAUAAUGGGUUGCAUUGUGAAUGGACCUGGCGAAAUGGCUGAUGCUGAUUUCGGUUAUGUAGGCGGUUCUCCCGGGAAAAUCGACCUUUACGUUGGAAAGGUGACGACUACCUUUAGUCUCGAGCUUCUUGGUCUUUUGAAGUAGAAUGUGUUUUUAUAUAUACAGUUUUUAAAUUUCUGUGGACAGACGGUGGUCAAGCGUGGGAUUGCCAUGUCGGAGGCAACUGAUGCUCUGAUCGGUCUGAUCAAAGAACAUGGUCGUUGGGUCGACCCACCGGUUGCUGAUGAGUAGAUUCAUUGUUAGGAUGAUCACGUGGCUGUAAGAAUCACCCUUGCUUCUCCAUAUCGUUUUCUCUAAAGAUCUUAUAUUGACUGAAAGUAAAACAUUGAGUUAUGUUUACAGCGUUUGGCUCUUAAACGGUUGAUCGAUGUAAGUAUGGGAGUCAUAGCACCUUUAUCAGAGCAGCUCACAAAGCCAUUGCCCAAUGCAAUGGUUCUUGUCAACCUGAAGGAACUAUCUGGUGGUGCUUACAAGCUUCUCCCUGAAGGUGACUCGGAUAAAAACUUUCCUGACAAAAACCAGCUUUUUUCGGGUUUUCUUAGCAUCGGUUAUUUCAGGUACACGCUUGGUUGUCUCUGUACGAGGUGAUGAGCCAUACGAGGAGCUUGAAGUACUCAAGAACAUCGAUGCUACGAUGAUUCUACAUGAUGUACCCUUCAAUGAAGACAAUGUUAGCAGAGUACAUGCAGCUCGGAGGUAAUAAUAUAAUAAAAAAUUCUCGCCAUACAAUCUUUUGAUGAGCUCAAAGUUAUGAGCUAACUGAUACUCUUCUUGUCUUUGAUUUGUAGACUAUUCGAGUUCCUAUCCGAGAAUUCAGUUAAUUUUCCCGUCAUUCACCACAUUAACUUCCCAACAGGGAUUCACAGGUAAGAUAGCCCUCUCCUCAGAACUUUGAUAUACGGUAUGAUGGUUUCUUUCUUGUUGCGCAACAAUGCAGGGACGAGUUGGUGAUCCACGCAGGGACAUACGCUGGGGCACUUCUAGUGGAUGGACUUGGAGAUGGUGUAAUGCUAGAAGCACCUGAUCAAGACUUCGAGUUUCUUAGGAACACUUCUUUCAACUUGUUACAAGGCUGCAGGAUGCGUAACACCAAGACGGUAUAUAUAAGCACAAACGAAUCUCUAUUAUUCUCAAACCCUU
rnacentral:lncRNA from 1 species